rnacentral:rRNA from 1 species
CCUACGGGGGGCUGCAGUGGGGAAUAUUGGACAAUGGGGGCAACCCUGAUCCAGCCAUGCCGCGUGUGUGAAGAAGGCCCUCGGGUUGUAAAGCACUUUCAGUGAGGAAGAACGCCUGGUGGUUAAUACCCAUCAGGAAAGACAUCACUCACAGAAGAAGCACCGGCUAACUCCGUGCCAGCAGCCGCGGUAAUACGGAGGGUGCGAGCGUUAAUCGGAAUUACUGGGCGUAAAGCGCGCGUAGGUGGCUUGAUAAGCCGGUUGUGAAAGCCCCGGGCUCAACCUGGGAACGGCAUCCGGAACUGUCAAGCUAGAGUGCAGGAGAGGAAGGUAGAAUUCCCGGUGUAGCGGUGAAAUGCGUAGAGAUCGGGAGGAAUACCAGUGGCGAAGGCGUCCUUCUGGACUGACACUGACACUGAGGUGCGAAAGCGUGGGUAGCAAACAGGAUUAGAUACCCCGGUAGUC